GGUUGCUGCCUCGUGGUUCGUAAUGUUAAUGAACUGUUGAAAUCACAUUAUUGUAUUAAAUAAAUAAAGUGUGUAAAAACUAGCUUGAUCUGAUGUAUUGUACUGUAACUGUAGUUGUUGUCCCAACUCUUAUAUCACCUUCGAAACACCCCCUGCCCUUUCAGGUCGUGUUAAGUCGAAUUUUUUUACUGUCUUGUGAUUUGUAGUGUUGUAGCGGUGAAUCCUAGAUUAGUGAACAUGGUUGUUCCUCCUUUCACUUUUUAGUACUACUUACCCCGGAUAAAACCAAAACGUUGUCAGGUAAGUUCAAGAUUCUUUGCCCCUUAAUAUGUUUGUCAUCUGUGUUUGGUAAUCUUGCACGAAUUCAUUAAAUUCUCAGAGCUGGAUUCUGUAAGAGAGGUGAAGCCCAACAAGUGCGUACCUUUCGGUUGCCGCCCCCAGUUUUAUGUCCGUGAGCGUUCUUUAUGCCGUGAAAUUUGAAUUGAUGUGUUACUGCCUCGUGGUUUGUAGUAUUGCUACAUAGCCCCCAUAAGUUUGUUCCUCAAGUCAUCAAACAUUGAGUUGAAUCAAAAGCUCCGUCUUAAGAAUAGUUUCCAUCAGCAGCCGUCAUGUUUUGAA
rnacentral:lncRNA from 1 species